rnacentral:rRNA from 1 species
UACAGAGGGGGCGAGCGUUGUUCGGAAUUACUGGGCGUAAAGGGCGCGUAGGCGGCCUGCUAAGUCAUACGUGAAAUCCCUCGGCUCAACCGAGGAACUGCGUCUGAUACUGGUUGGCUUGAAUUCGGGAGAGGGAUGCGGAAUUCCAGGUGUAGCGGUGAAAUGCGUAGAUAUCUGGAGGAACACCGGUGGCGAAAGCGGCUCUCUGGGGACCACCUGACGCUGAGGCGCGAAAGCGUGGGGGAGCGAACCGG